GACAGAGGGUGCAAGCGUUGUUCGGAAUCAUUGGGCGUAAAGGGCGCGUAGGCGGUUUUGUAAGUCGGAUGUGAAAGCCCAGGGCUCAACCUUGGAAGUGCAUCCGAAACUGCAUAACUGGAGUCUCGGAGAGGGUGGUAGAAUUCCCAGUGUAGAGGUGAAAUUCGUAGAUAUUGGGAGGAAUACCAGUGGCGAAGGCGACCACCUGGACGAAGACUGACGCUGAGGCGCGAGAGCGUGGGGAGCAAACAGG
rnacentral:rRNA from 1 species